AUUGAACGCUGGCGGCAGGCCUAACACAUGCAAGUCGAACGAGUGGCGGACGGGUGAGUAAUGUCUGGGAAACUGCCCGAUGGAGGGGGAUAACUACUGGAAACGGUAGCUAAUACCGCAUACCAUCGGAUGUGCCCAGAUGGGAUUAGCUAGUAGGUGGGGUAACGGCUCACAGAGGCGACGAUCCCUAGCGGGUUUGAGAGGAUGACCAGCAACACUGGAACGGAGACACGGUCCAGACCCCUACGGGAGGCAGCAGUGGGAAAUAUUGGACAUGGGGGGAAAGCCUGAUGCAGAAAUGCCGCGGGGUUGAAGAGGGCCUUCGGGUUGUAAGGUACUUUCAGCGGGGAGGCGUUACUCGCAUAGGAAGCACCGGCUAACUCCGUGCCAGCCGCCGCGGUAAUUC
rnacentral:rRNA from 1 species